rnacentral:rRNA from 1 species
UACGUAGGGACCAAGCGUUGUCCGGAAUCAUUGGGCGUAAAGAGCGUGUAGGCGGCUUUGUAAGUCAGUGGUGAAAUACUCCAGCUUAACUGGAGGGGUGCCAUUGAUACUGCGGAGCUUGAGUACAGAUGAGGUAGGCGGAAUUGACGGUGUAGCGGUGAAAUGCAUAGAUAUCGUAAGGAAGACCAGUGGCGAAGGCGAGUUUCUGGACAGGUACUGACGCUGAGGCACGAAGGCCAGGGGAGCAAACGGG